rnacentral:lncRNA from 1 species
CUGGGUGGAUGGAUGGAUAGAAAGAAAGAAAGUGGUGCUCUUGGCGCCUUCUCGUUUCCCAUCCCAAAUCCCUCCCCCUCCUCCCCUGGCCCCUCCCCCUUCCCCCCUCCUCGCCAGGAUUCGGCCAGGGAGGUAAACUGGCUUCGUUUCCGCCAGUAACCUCCUCCCCUGCCUGCUCCAGAAGAUUGCCGCCUCCCUCAGCCAAUCCCAGCUGGCGCUGCUAGUCAGAAGCCCGCCUCCUAUCUAAUCCGGGCCAGUAAGGGGGGAACGGGUGGGGGGGAAAGGAGCAAGGGGGAGAAAAACUUUGUUGUAGUAGCAACUGUCCUGGGAAAGGUGUCGAGCGGCGUCGGGAGCGCGGCGCUUUCCCUUUUCAGCACCCUCCGAGGCCCGUGAUGGAUGGAGAGCAAGAAAGGGCCAGACGAGGCUGGAGGGGGAGCGGAGCAAAGAUAUAUAAAGACCCUGAAAAUGUGAUUUAUUUGGGGAGGCGAGGAAAGGAAAUCGGAGGAAGCCCCCAAAAGCAGAGAUUCAUAUUUAUAUGGGCUACCUCCUUCCCCCCAAAUUCAGUGCAAGAGGCGCCCAGGGUUGGUCUGGCAAAGCAAAGACCAAGGCUUUAAAAAUAAAAGCAGAAAAAGCCCUUGAGAGGCUUUUCCCCGAAACUUGGAAAUGUCAGCGAUUUCCGCNCGCUUCCGUCCGCUUUGGUAACCUGGACUGAGGACGGGAACGAGCAGGCGGCACUUUCCAGCUUUUCCCAACCUUCCCCAACUUUUUUNCACCUCGCAAAGCUCCAGACUGGCAGCUCCAAGCUCCCAUCCCAAACGCUCUUGCCUCCAGAGCAGAGCCGGCAGAAUCCGGACGGAUUCCCCGCAAAGAAGGGGCCGAAACCCCGGCGGGGAAUCUCACACGGACACAGGCGUUUAAAGGGUCAGGAUGUUUCUGUAUAGAUCNAGCACGCAACGCUUCCAGUGCGCGAUUUCGGCGUGCGAACGAUGAUCUCUCAUCUGUCCCUGCAACGAAAUGACGAGACGCCCUGUUCCGGUCUCGCAAGCCCGUUGCAGUUCCAGCCCGACCCAAGCCGCGUUUACUCAGAAGUAAGUCCGCCAGGAUUCAGUGGGGUGCCCAGCCUCGACUUAAUAGCAGUGGCGCAGCAGGAAAGGAUCCCCGGCAGACUAUUGGGGAGAUGGAGGGAGGGGGAGGCGGGGGGAGGGGGGAGUCUCGAGCCCCCCGUCCCUGCAGACGCGUGCACACACUCACACGCUCCCACGCCCGCUGCGAUGCUGUCCAUACGUACCUGGGCGGGGAGAUCCUCCCCCCUGGCGAGAGCCAGGCUUACUUCUGAGCAAACCCGCCUCGCUUCGCCCAGCACUAACACGCCACGCAAAAAGUUGCCACCGGCGCUACGGAACCGGCUCAAGAGCAAGAUGCGAAUAAAAGCAGAGGAGAAGCCGAGAUCGCGGAUUUUUUUUUCGUAAUUUUUUAUUCUGCCCCAGCUGAUGUUUGAGCCAG